CCUACGGGUGGCUGCAGUGAGGAAUAUUGGUCAAUGGCCGUAAGGCUGAACCAGCCAAGUAGCGUGAGGGAAGACUGCCCUAUGGGUUGUAAACCUCUUUUAUGCGGGGAUAAAGGUGGCCACGUGUGGAUGUUUGCAGGUACCGCAUGAAUAAGGACCGGCUAAUUCCGUGCCAGCAGCCGCGGUAAUACGGAAGGUCCGGGCGUUAUCCGGAUUUAUUGGGUUUAAAGGGAGCGUAGGCGGGUCGUUAAGCGUGCUGUGAAAGUUUGUGGCUCAACCAUGAGAGUGCGGCGCGAACUGGAGGCCUUGAGUGCGCUGAAGGUAGGCGGAAUUCGUGGUGUAGCGGUGAAAUGCUUAGAUAUCACGAAGAACCCCGAUUGCGAAGGCAGCCUGCCGAAGCGUUACUGACGUUGAAGCUCGAAAGCGCGGGUAUCGAACAGGAUUAGAUACCCGUGUAGUC
rnacentral:rRNA from 1 species